rnacentral:rRNA from 1 species
AUACGGAUUGGCUCGCGUGACAUUAGCUGGAUGGUAAGGUAACGGCUUACCAUGGCUAUGAUGUCUAGGGGUUCUGAGAGGAAGGUCCCCCACACUGGAACUGAGACACGGUCCAGACUCCUACGGGAGGCAGCAGUGAGGAAUAUUGGACAAUGGAUGGAAAUCUGAUCCAGCCAUGCCGCGUGAAGGAAGAAGGUCCUAUGGAUUGUAAACUUCUUUUGUAUGGGAGCAAUAAGGCCUACGAGUAGGUUGAUGAGAGUACCAUACGAAUAAGCACCGGCUAACUCCGUGCCAGCAGCCGCGGUAAUACGGAGGGUGCAAGCGUUAUCCGGAUUUAUUGGGUUUAAAGGGUGCGUAGGCGGUUAUUUAAGUCAGUGGUGAAAGUUUUCGGCUCAACCGGAAAAUUGCCAUUGAUACUGGGUAGCUAGAAUAUGGUUGCUGUGAGUAGAAUGUGUGGUGUAGCGGUGAAAUGCAUAGAUAUCACACAGAAUACCGAUUGCGAAGGCAUCUCACAAAGCCAUCAUUGACGCUGAGGCACGAAAGUGUGGGGAUCAAACAGGAUUAGAUACCCUGGUAGUCCACACUGUAAACGAUGAUAACUAGCUGUUGGCGAUACACAGUCAGUGGCCAAGCGAAAGCGAUA